rnacentral:rRNA from 1 species
GCUAGCGGCGCGCUUAAUGCAUGCAAGUCGAGCGAUGAGGCCUUCUUCGGAGGGCACAUCAGCGGCAGACGGGUGAGUAACACGUGGGUGACCUGCCCUUGAGACGGGGAUAACGGAUGGAAACAUGCGCUAAUACCCGAUAGGGUCCCAGGGUCAAAGCUGGGAUGAAAGCUUUGGUGCUCAAGGAGGGGCUCGCGGCCCAUCAGCUAGUUGGUGAGGUAACGGCUCACCAAGGCGAAGACGGGUAGGGGGUGUGAGAGCACGGCCCCCCACAAUGGGACUGAGACACGGCCCAUACUCCUACGGGAGGCAGCAGCAGGGAAUAUUGCACAAUGGACGGAAGUCUGAUGCAGCGACGCCGCGUGGAUGAUGAAGGCCUUCGGGUUGUAAAAUCCUUUACGGGGUGACGAGGAAGGACGGUAGCCCCGGAACAAGCGUCGGCUAACUACGUGCCAGCAGCCGCGGUAAGACGUAGGACGCAAGCGUCAUCCGGAUUUACUGGGCGUAAAGCGUCUGUAGGCGGAUGAGUAAGUUGGGCGUGAAAGCUCCGGGCUCAACCCGGAGAGGCCGUUCAAUACUGCUGAUCUAGAGGAGGCCAGAGGGGAGUGGAAUUCCUGGAGUAGCGGUAAAAUGCGCAGAUAUCAGGAAGAACACCAGUGGCGAAGGCGGCUCCCUAGGGCCCACCUGACGCUGAGAGACGACAGCUAGGGGAGCGAACAGGAUUAGAGACCCUGGUAGUCCUAGCCGUAAACGAUGGAUGCUAGGUGUAGGGCCGUAGAGGCUCUGUGCCGGAGCGAACGCGAUAAGCAUCCC